rnacentral:ncRNA from 2 species
GGGUCCAGGAAGUAUUAAUUCCUGGAGGAUGCUUUGAUGGGAUGGUCGGGCCGCCAUCU